rnacentral:lncRNA from 1 species
GCGCCAGGUACUGUACCUUCUUGGCAUGCCUGUUCACCUCCAACCGUUGCUGGGCCGCUGCACACAGAGAUGGGGGCAUGGAGGCCAUUAGGCCGCGGUGUAGUUGCGGCAUGGUGGAGACAUGGACGGAAGGAGAAGCGUCUCAAGCGAGGCAGGUUUAGAGAGAUUGUAGUUUUUUUUUCUUUCUCGUAGCGAGAUAUGGCGAGAUGCAACAAGGGAGGUUAUCUACUCAGAUUGCGUGGAUUUUCCUGGCGGAGCAGCAGCCCAGCCAGCGGGCGUGAGGCCUAGGCGCGUUGGACGGCCAGCGAUGGCCAAAAAAGUCGAUCGAACAGCCGAGAGUGGUGAGGGGCUGAGAGAGCUCGGAGUCUGUGUUUUGUUAUCUCUAAUAUCCAUUCUUCAUGAUUUUUCCACCGAGCGUUGUUGAUGGCUAGAAAUUGUUUGAUACUUAUUCUCGCUCGUGACAAACAAAAGCGUCCACUACGAUCGAAUGAUCGAAUCAUGGUUGAGGUUCUGGC